UAGGCGUAAUAUAAUUUUGAAAUAAAAUACUACUUUUGUUUUUUAAUUUAAUCAUUUAUUGUUUUUCUAAAUUUUAUUGAAAAAGUAUUUGUAAUUUUAUUUUAUCCAUCCAAAAAUCCAUUUUUCUAUAAAGUUUUUUUCUAAAAUAACUAUUUAACAAAAUAAAAUAAUGUUUUAUUAUAUUACAUUAAAUUUCCUGUUACACAUUGUACUCGGACAUUAUAAUAAAUAUAAACAUAAUAUUUAUAUAUAUAUAUUUUCAUAAAAUUUUUUUGCCGACCACGGAUGGUCAAUCACGGUAACAUCCAUUAUUGUGAUGGUUAUUGGUUUAUAACUAAUAAGUCAGAGCAUGUUUUUAUAUCUUAUUUGUGAUUGUAUCUAUACUUUGUAAUAAUAUAUUGUUGUAAUAUUUUCAAUUAACUACGAUGCAUGGGGAAGAAAUGGUGUAAAAUAGUUUCUCUUCAUGUUGGUGGUUCAUAAAGAAAAAGGUAGGUACUAAUACAAAUUUAUUCACUUAUAUCAUAUAUUUAUCAUAUUUUUAUGAAUAAUAACCUAUUCUCAUAAAAUUAUUAAAUGUAAUAUAAACAGAUCCACAGUAGUAUGGUCAAGAAGUUAAUCAAUAAUGUCGCGAACCACUCGUUCAUGAUCUAAAGAUCGUAGAUCGUACGUCUAAAUAUGUAGAUGAUAAGUAUCGACUCCACCUGGUUAAUAUAAUAAUAUAAAUGUUUCUAAUGUUUCUAUAUCAAUUGAUUUAACGUAUAAAAUAAAAAAACUAUCGUUCGAAAAAUGAAAAAAAUCAACGACUGACGUCCUAAAAUAUUUUCAAUCGGAAAUAAAUUGUGAUUGAAAAGACCUUUAGUGCUCACAUAACGCCCUAUACACGCGUACAAAAUUUUCCGUAAAACUUGUAAUGUAAUAAACGCGCAAAGAACUCGCGGAUAAAGAUUGAUCGGCUAUUGAUGACGUUAUAUUAUGGAGUCUGACCGGGCUGCACCUGCGGUCGCUUAUUACUAUUAUUGUGGUUGUCGUCGUCGAAUGAUAAUAGCAUAACAAAUCUGUUACGAGAAAACGCGAACUGUGCAGGCGAAAAGUGUACGAUGGUCGGUGACAAAUUAAAGGCACUUCCAUCUUGGCCACGUCUGUAAUCUUCGAGAUAAUAGAGACGCAUCGGCACGGUUAUAGGUACCAUAGGUAUAAAAUAAUAUUACACAGUUUCGUCGGAGAAAAAAACUGUUUUAGAUUCGGAACUUUGGAAAACCGUUGAAAACUUUUAAAAAUGUUUUAUUUUACAUUUUUUAUACCUCGUCUAAAUGUUAUUUUAUUUAUAUAUUAAUUGUUGGUAGGAAAACGAAGAAUAAAAAUAAGAAGAAAAAGAAGAAGAAGUAGAAGAAGAAGAAUUAUAUUAUUAGUUGGAUUAUAAAAAAGCCCGAUUACAAUAAACAUAUACCUACGUAAAUCAUAUUCUUAUAAAGUUGGUAAGUAUACUUAUAUACGUGAAUACAAUUUAUACCUAUUAGAUUACAUCGAAUUAAUCAAAAUAAAAUAUAUUUUUUUAAUACAGUGAUUUUGAAUAAUUUUAUAGUUUAAUUUUUAAUAAACCUUAUAAACUAUCUAAAUAUUCAAUGUAUUCUCAUGUAUCUGAAGUUGAAAUUUUGACAAAAUUCA